ACUGCCCCUGUCUUUCACAUGGGCUGUAAUUUAGUUCAAUUCAGAACUGCAGAUAGUACAGCUUCCACAGGAGCAAGGGAUGUCUGAGCACAAGUGGCUGAGUUCCGAGUGACUUUAUGAAGCACUUUCUACCUUCCUCUCCGGCAUGAAAACAGGGAUUCUGCACCUGCAUCAUGGACAGUCUGGCAAAAGCCUCUGCUCUGCCUCCGGGGACAAGAAACUAGAGCAAAUAACCGUUUUGAAAUUAGAUCCUGGCAAAAUUACCAACAAUCAAUGAUGGAAACUGAAGGGAGAUUGAUUUAAAUCUUCAAUGACAGUUGUACAGAAGUUGAAGAAACACGUCAUCUUUCCAAAGAAGAGUGAGUAGCUUGGUUGGUGGUACCCUAAAAUUAGGGCAUGAUUAAGGUACGUCAUUUCUUUUAGUUCAAUCAAAGUGCUUUGCUGUUUCCAUUUCAGAGAAUUUCUUAUUCUUUUUUUCAAUUUCUCUCUCUUCCUCUUCUUCCUCUCAUUAGUAGAUGUCUUUUAUAAUUGAUGUCAUUUACUGUCCUUUCAUCAAAUGUAUGCCACAUCACUUAGGCGAACCAGCAGACAGGGCACCAAAAUACACAUUAGAGGAGACUGGCUUCCAUGAGACGCUUCGACUGUCUCAUCGGGGCACUUGUAAUAAGCAUCUUGGUGCCACUGAAUGCAAUGCUGUAUUCAAAUAAUAGCUUUCAUCUUCACUCUUUUUAAAUAUAAAAGUAAACCUUGAAGCCCUUUGAAGGACCUAACCAAACAACAUACCUAUGAAAAUAGAUCAGUAAGGCUUUGAGAAACAUUCUUAAGUAAAAUCUGUAAAGCAUCUUUGCAUUUUUUUUCAAGAAAGACCUCCAGGUAAAUGAUGGCUUUUAAUAAGACACAUGACAAUCUCAAUUACAAGAAUCAUUAGUGUGUGUCCUGUGCGCCAUUUUAUGUUCCCAGCAGGAUAUAUCUUUUCUCGUCUAGGGUUUCCAGGGCUGUCUACUGUUCUCUAUGUGUAAAACGUAUUUAAGUGUUCCCCCAAUGCUGCACUAAUGUUGAAACAAAACAAAACAAAAACGAAGAAACCUUUGUCAAGUGGUCAGACAGACUGGAACUAGAGGAUUAUAGGUAAGAGAGAUAAAAUGAAGGGUUGAAAGCUAUAAUUUCUAUUUAUGUGGUGGCAACCAAAUCAGCUGUUGGAGUCAGGCAAUUUAAAGAUGUGGCUACUGGAGCUCAGAGUCUGGGAAGAAGACACUUCUGCGUCUGACAGUGAAUCAGGCUCCCAGUUUUGAAGAUGUGCUGUAGGUAGUUCUCGCUGAAUCCAUUUCCCAGUUGGUUUCUAUUCCCCGCCCCAUUCCUGUGUCCCCACACUUUCCACUUGAUUUUACCUCUUUGACAAUUCUAUAUUUUACUUUCCUUCCUCUCAUUCCCCUUUUCCCACCCCCUUUUUUUACUGUAGUUCUUGGCCUCUGACUACUGUUCCAUGCUGGAUGUCCCCAGAAAAUAGAGUAUGUUUAGAAAGGAGACAGUGCAUCUCAGAAGGGCCUCCCCAGUCCACUAGUCCAUUUUUUAAUGUGUUGUGCUCUAUGGGUGUCAGGAAUAUUUGUAGAUGAAGUAAUUUGUGGCAUGAAUUUUGAUAGAAGCAGGAUCACCAACAAAAUGAUAAAUGUAGGUACCUGUCUACCUUGCAUAAUAUUCACUAUGAUCUUGAGAAUUUCAAUGUAUAAUUUGUCUUUAUUCUUAUUUUUCAUUAGAAUUAACAGAAUCUCAGAGCUGGUAGAAAGUAUAGAAACUGUAUAUACAACUCUCAUAUUCAGAUGAAGAAAAUGAUGCACAAAAAAUCAACUGUCCUAAGCCAUUCAGCUUGUCUAUAAGUGCUGUUGGCUUAAUUAUAGUUUUGCAUAUAUUUAGGCAAAGAAAAUACUUUCUCAGAAACUGGUUAGGACUGUUUGAGAAGAAAUAUAAUCAUCAAAAUAUAUACACAGUAAAAUGUAACCGUCCAUCAUUCAACAUAGGCAAGAAUAUAUAUUGAAUUGCCUGAGUGUAUUAUUCGUAUAGCAAAACUUACUUGAAUUUCUAAUAAAUCUUCUGACCUCUGUAUAUGUAUAAAAUAUAUAAACCAACCAAAUUCUGUACAUAAAUAUAUUUUUGGAUACCAGUACAAUCCCUAUUUCACUUUUGUGUAUUCCAGUUAUUUAUUACUCACAGUUCUGUAGUUUUAACCAGAACAAAGGGAUUACCCAGAAGAAAAGAAGGUAAGCUAUUUCAUCAGUUUUGGUGGAAAUCAGAAGUUUUUUUUUCUAUUAUUAGCUUUGUAUUCUUAAAAAAGAAAAAAGAAGGAGAAAAAAAAUCUCAUCUUCUCAUUUAUAAGAAUUCCCAUAAAAUUUGGCAGUGGUGAGGUGGGGAGGAAAUGCAUUAUCAAUAAACAGCUAGAUCCUAUUAUUGGAGACAAUCAGUUUUAUUCUGCAGAAAAUAUAGUUUGUUCUUGAAGAUUUAAUAGAUAUAAUAUUUUUUAAACCAACAUAUUAAAUAUACCAGUAAAUAUUUUUGUUAAACAAGGCUUUUAAAAUUUAAAUUAUACCCCUAAACUGGCUUUCUAGUUUUUCUGGAGAAAUAAAGAAAUUUUAAAGGAAAUAUCCACUCAGAUUAAUACUGCAAAUAUCAUACAAAAAUGUGUGUGGUGAUAUUACUGAAAAUGAGGAUUUUUGAAAACUAGAAGAGCAAAAAGUCGUUGCUCCAAAAGGCUUCAAGACUGCCUUAGGAUUAACAAUGCAAGUCUUCAAUGUAUUUAGGUAAUCAUAAUUUGAUUAGCUUUCUAAACCUAAACAUAUUUUGAUUCAAAUGUUUAAAAUAUGGUCAUCUCUUCAGUUAAAGAUGAACAUUUUGAUGAAAUAACAAUACUUAAAGCGUUCUCCGUCUCCACAAUUAAGUGCUACCUGUUAUUUAUUCAGAGCAUAUGUUUCAGUCUCAAAACACCAAGGACACAUCUCAGUGAAAUAAAAAUAA
rnacentral:lncRNA from 1 species